rnacentral:rRNA from 1 species
CUUCCUACGGGGGGCAGCAGUGAGGAAUAUUGGACAAUGGAUGGAAAUCUGAUCCAGCCAUGCCGCGUGCAGGAAGACGGCCCUAUGGGUUGUAAACUGCUUUUGUAUGGGAGCAAUAAGGUCUAUGCGUAGACUGAUGAGAGUACCAUACGAAUAAGCAUCGGCUAACUCCGUGCCAGCAGCCGCGGUAAUACGGGGGAUGCAAGCGUUAUCCGGAUUUAUUGGGUUUAAAGGGUGCGUAGGCGGUUUGAUAAGUCAGCGGUGAAAUAUUUCAGCUUAACUGAAAGGGUGCCGUUGAUACUGUCAGGCUUGAAUAUGGUUGCUGUGGGUGGAAUGUGUGGUGUAGCGGUGAAAUGCUUAGAUAUCACACAGAAUAUCGAUUGCGAAGGCAGCUCACAAAGCCAUUAUUGACGCUGAUGCACGAAAGUGUGGGGAUCAAACAGGAUUAGAUACCCUGGUAGUCCACACUGUAAACGAUGAUAACUCGCUGUCGGCGAUACACAGUCGGUAGCCAAGCGAAAGCGAUAAGUUAUCCACCUGGGGAGUACGACCGCAAGGUUGAAACUCAAAGGAAUUGACGGGGGCCCGCACAGGCGGAGGAACAUGUGGUUUAAUUCGAUGAUACGCGAG